rnacentral:rRNA from 1 species
AUUGAACGCUGGCGGCAGGCCUAACACAUGCUAAGUCGAGCGGUAGAGAGAAGCUUGCUUCUCUUGAGAGCGGCGGCACGGGUGAGUAAUGCCUAGGAAUCUGCCUAGUGGUGGGGGAUAACGUUCGGAAACGGUACGCUAAUACCGCAUACGUCCUACGGGAGAAAGCGGGGGAUCUUCGGACCUCGCGCCAUUAGCAUGAGCCUAGGUCGGAUUAAGCUAGUUGGUGAGGUAAUGGCUCACCAAGGCGACGAUCCGUAACUGGUCUGAGAGGAUGAUCAGUCACACUGGAACUGAGACACGGUCCAGACUCCUACGGGAGGCAGCAGUGGGGAAUAUUGGACAAUGGGCGAAAGCUGAUCCAGCCAUGCCGCGUGUGUGAAGAAGGUCUUCGGAUUGUAAAGCACUUUAAGUUGGGAGGAAGGGCAGUAACCUAAUACGUUAUUGUUUUGRCGUUACCGACAGAAUAAGCACCGGCUAACUUCGUGC